UUGAAGUAAAAAAUCGUAACAAGGUUUCCGUAGGUGAACCUGCGGAAGGAUCAUUAACAUUAAUUUACUACACACUGUUUUUUUACAACAAAACAAAUCUAUCUAAAAACAAUUCUUUACAAGAAAUUCUUAAAACUUUCAACAACGGAUCUCUUGGUUCUCGCAUCGAUGAAGAACGCAGCGAAAUGCGAUACGUAAUACGAAUCGCAGCUCUCGGAAUCAUCGAAUCUUUGAACGCACAUUGCACCAUUGGGUAUUCCCAAUGGUAUGCUUGUUUGAGCGAAUACUUCCCUAAUCCUCACGGAUUGUAUUGUGUUUGCACGAAAAUAAUGACGACAGUACUCUACAAAACGGUACCGUCAGUACACUCAUUUUUUUUCCUCAAAUCAAGUAGGACUACCCGCUGAACUUAAGCAUAUCAAAAGCCGGAGGAA
rnacentral:rRNA from 1 species